rnacentral:rRNA from 1 species
AGAUGGCGACCGGCGCACGGGUGAGUAACACGUAUUCAACCUGCCGAUAACUCGGGGAUAGCCUUUCGAAAGAAAGAUUAAUACCCGAUGGCAUAAUUAGACCGCAUGGUCUUAUUAUUAAAGAAUUUCGGUUAUCGAUGGGGAUGCGUUCCAUUAGGCAGUUGGUGAGGUAACGGCUCACCAAACCUUCGAUGGAUAGGGGUUCUGAGAGGAAGGUCCCCCACAUUGGAACUGAGACACGGUCCAA